rnacentral:piRNA from 1 species
AACUAUUUGAAAAAUUAAGAUGUAUACGGU